rnacentral:sRNA from 1 species
UUUGCCAUGAUAUGAUUGCCGCGACUU